CAGAUGUGAUCAAAUUAAGUGUCUUGAGAUGGGUAGAUUAUCCUCGACUAUCUGGGGGGGGGUGCUAUGUAAUCAUAAUAUUCUUAAAAGAGGGGCACAGAAGGAGGAGGCAUAAUGGAAGCAGAGAGUAGAGUGAUGUACUUUGAACAUGGAGAAAGGGGCCAAAAGCCAAGGAAUUCAGGUGACCACUGGAAGCUAGAAAGGACCAGGAGAUGGAUUUUCCCUUCAGUCUUCAGAAGGAACCAUCCCGGCUGACAUCUUGACUUUAGCCUAAUGAGACUGAUUUCAGGGGCUUCUCCUAGUCAGUUGAAGACUUAAAGAAAAAAAAAAAAGACUGAGAUCUUCCAAGGAAGAAAGAAUCCUGCCUUCAGACUACCUUUGAACUCAAAACUGCAACAUCAACUCUUUCCUGGUUCUCCAGCCUUUUGGAUUUGACAGCCCCCACUAAAAUCUCUGCUCUGCAAAGGUUACUUUUAAGAGACUGGAAAGUGAAUGGCUGGAAGUGAUGCAACACCAGAAAUUGACAUCCUCACUUAUUUAAAAUAGCCACGAAACAUGCUCAUUUUAAGGUCUUAACUUAUAUCAAUCCUACAAGAGUAAUUGCAUAUAAUUCCACUCAACGCACACAUCUGUCUAGUCAUAAGUCAAUUCGGUCAUAUGGAGAUAUUUAAUGAAAUUCCUGGAGGACAUUUGGAACACAGUGAGAAGAUAGGUGUCUAUGAACUAUGAAGUAGGCUCUCGCCAGACUCUGAAUCUGCCAGCUUCUUGAUCCAGAACUCUGAGAAAUAAAUUUUUG